rnacentral:lncRNA from 1 species
CCCAAAGUAUGGUUUUUCAUUUUUACUAUAUAAAAAUGUAUCUAUAUUAUGAUGAUGACAUUUGAAUCAAUGAAAUGAGAUUAUGUCUGCACAUUUAUGUGUGUAAAUUCCCGACAACAGGAAUCUUUGCUGUGGAAGACGACGUGGGCACCUACACUAUUAAAGCUGUAGAUGAUCCAAGAACCCUGAACAAGACCCUGUAUCUGAGGCCACCAAGCAACACUUUGUCUCAUAACGAGCUUGUCUCACUCUGGGAGAAGAAAGUUGGUAAGACAUUUGAGAGGGUGUACAUCCCAGAAGACGAAGUCCUGAAGAAGAUUCAAGGUUAGAGUAAAGACAUGUUUUUCUUUGUCAAUUUUACUGAAUCCACUCGCUCAUGCUCACCUUUUCAUUUUCUUUUCCCCCAGAAAUGUGCU